UACGGGGGGAGGCUAGUGUUAUUCGUAAUGAUUGGGCGUAAAGGGUGCGUAGGUGGCGAUGUAAGUCUGGUGUGAAAUCUCGGAGCUUAACUCCGAAACUGCAUUGGAUACUGCGUUGCUUUGAGGAUUGUAGAGGAGAGUGGAAUUCACGGUGUAGCAGUGAAAUGCGUAGAUAUCGUGAGGAAGACCAGUUGCGAAGGCGACUCUCUGGGCAAUUCCUGACACUGAGGCACGAAGGCCAGGGGAGCAAACGGG
rnacentral:rRNA from 1 species